rnacentral:rRNA from 1 species
GGAUUCCAUGGGGGAACCCUGACGCAGCACGCCGCGUGGAGGAUGAAGUCCUUCGGGACGUAAACUCCUUUCGAUCGGGACGAUUAUGACGGUACCGGAAGAAGAAGCCCCGGCUAACUUCGUGCCAGCAGCCGCGGUAAUACGAGGGGGGCGAGCGUUGUUCGGAAUUAUUGGGCGUAAAGGGUGCGUAGGCGGUUUGGUAAGUCUCUUGUGAAAACUCCGGGCUCAGCUCGGAGCCUGCAGGAGAAACUGCCGGGCUUGAGUGUGGGAGAGGUGAGUGGAAUUCCUGGUGUAGCGGUGAAAUGCGUAGAUAUCAGGAGGAACACCUGUGGCGAAAGCGGCUCACUGGACCACAACUGACGCUGAUGCACGAAAGCUAGGGGAGCAAACAGGAUUAGAUACCCUGGUAGUCCUAGCCCUAAACGAUGACUGCUUGGUGUGACGGGUACCCAAUCCCGCCGUGCCGUAGCUAACGCGUUAAGCAGUCCGCCUGGGGAGUACGGUCGCAAGGCUGAAACUCAAAAGAAUUGACGGA